GCCGAGAUGACGGAAUGGUAUACGUGAAAGUCUUAAACACUUUUGUCCUAUGUGGCGUGCGGGUUCGAGUCCCGCUCUCGGUA
rnacentral:tRNA from 1 species